AUCCAGCUGAAGAGUCUCAAAGAGGACGAAACACGGAAAUCUUGGAU
rfam:Schistosoma curassoni strain Dakar, Senegal genome assembly, scaffold: SCTD_contig0002416